UCCCAGGUGGCUUAGAGGUAAAAGAAUCUGGUUGACAAGCAGGAGACUCAGGUUCAAUCCCUGAGUAGGGAA
rnacentral:tRNA from 1 species